UACAGAGGGUGCAAGCGUUGUUCGGAAUUAUUGGGCGUAAAGGGCGCGUAGGCGGUGCGGUAAGUCUGUAGUGAAAUCUCUGGGCUCAACUCAGAGUCUGCUAUAGAAACUGCCGUGCUUGAGUGUGGGAGAGGUGAGUGGAAUUCCACGUGUAGCGGUGAAAUGCGUAGAUAUGUGGAGGAAUACCGAUGGCGAAGGCAGCCUCCUGGGCCAACACUGACGCUCAUGCACGAAAGCGUGGGGAGCAAACAGG
rnacentral:rRNA from 1 species